rnacentral:rRNA from 1 species
CGAAAGCCUGACGGAGCAAUACCGCGUGAGGGAGGAAAGCCUUUGGGUUGUAAACCUCUUUUCUCAGGGAAGAAGAUCUGACGGUACCUGAGGAAUAAGCAUCGGCUAACUCCGUGCCAGCAGCCGCGGUAAUACGGAGGAUGCAAGCGUUAUCCGGAAUUAUUGGGCGUAAAGCGUCCGCAGAUGGUUAUUCAAGUCUGCUGUCAAAGACCAGAGCUUAACUCUGGAAAGGCAGUGGAAACUGAAAAACUAGAGUCCGGUAGGGGUAGCGGGAAUUCCCAGUGUAGCGGUGAAAUGCGUAGAUAUUGGGAAGAACAUCGGUGGCGAAGGCGCGCUACUGGGCCGGGACUGACACUCAGGGACGAAAGCUAGGGGAGCG